CCCAGACUCCUACGGGAGGCAGCAGUGAGGAAUAUUGGUCAAUGGCCGCAGGGCUGAACCAGCCAAGUCGCGUGAGGGAUGACGGUCCUAUGGAUUGUAAACCUCUUUUGCCGGGGAGCAACGGGGUCCUUGCGAGGGCCCAAUGAGAGUACCCGGAGAAAAAGCAUCGGCUAACUCCGUGCCAGCAGCCGCGGUAAUACGGAGGAUGCGAGCGUUAUCCGGAUUUAUUGGGUUUAAAGGGUGCGCAGGCGGAGGUGCAAGUCAGCGGUCAAAUUGCGGGGCUCAACCCCGUACUGCCGUUGAAACUGCAUCCCUUGAGUGCGCGAGAAGUAUGCGGAAUGCGUGGUGUAGCGGUGAAAUGCAUAGAUAUCACGCAGAACUCCGAUUGCGAAGGCAGCAUACCGGCGCGCAACUGACGCUCAUGCACGAAAGCGUGGGUAUCGAACAGGAUUAGAUACCCUCGUAU
rnacentral:rRNA from 1 species